CCUAUGGGUGGCAGCAGUGAGGAAUAUUGGUCAAUGGGCGCGCGCCUGAACCAGCCAAGUCGCGUGAGGGAAGACGGCCCUACGGGUUGUAAACCUCUUUUGCCGGGGAGCAACGGGCGCCACGGGUGGCGCCACUGAGAGUACCCGGAGAAAAAGCAUCGGCUAACUCCGUGCCAGCAGCCGCGGUCAUACGGAGGAUGCGAGCGUUAUCCGUAUUUAUUGGGUGUAAAGGUUGCGCAGGCGGAGCGUUAAGUCAGGGGUCAAAUUGGGGGGCCCAACCCCUUCCCGCCAUUGAAACUGGCGCUCUUGAGUGGAAGAGAAGUAUGCGGAAUGCUUGGUGUAGCGGUGAAAUGCAUAGAUAUCACGCAGAACCCCGAUUGCGAAGGCAGCAUGCCGGCUUCCGACUGACGCUGAAGCACGAAAGCGUGGGGAUCGAACAGGAUUAGAUACCCAGUAGUC
rnacentral:rRNA from 1 species